rnacentral:rRNA from 1 species
UUCGGUGAUUAUAGCAUAGAGGAAACACUCGAUCCCAUUCCGAACUCGACCGUUAAGCUCUAUAGCGCCGAUGGUACUGCCCGGGCAACUGGGUGGGAGAGUAGGACAUCGCCGAAA